rnacentral:rRNA from 1 species
AUUGAACGCUGGCGGCAGGCCUAACACAUGCAAGUCGAGCGGCAGCGGGAAAGUAGCUUGCUACUUUUGCCGGCGAGCGGCGGACGGGUGAGUAAUGCCUGGGAAAUUGCCCAGUCGAGGGGGAUAACAGUUGGAAACGACUGCUAAUACCGCAUACACCCUACGGGGGAAAGCAGGGGACCUUCGGGCCUUGCGCGAUUGGAUAUGCCCAGGUGGGAUUAGCUAGUUGGUGAGGUAAUGGCUCACCAAGGCGACGAUCCCUAGCUGGGCUGAGAGGAUGAUCAGCCACACUGGAACUGAGACACGGUCCAGACUCCUACGGGAGGCAGCAGUGGGGAAUAUUGCACAAUGGGGGAAACCCUGAUGCAGCCAUGCCGCGUGUGUGAAGAAGGCCUUCGGGUUGUAAAGCACUUUCAGCGAGGAGGAAAGGUCAGUCUCUCCUAUCUGCUGACUGUGACGUUACUCGCAGAAGAAGCACCGGCUAACUCCGUGCCAGCCGCCGCUGUAACAC